rnacentral:rRNA from 1 species
UUACCUUAGGGUUUCCUCUGGGGUAAGUGAUUGCUUCUACACUGUGAAAAUUUGGCUGAGAGACUCAGACUGGUCAUGGGUAGACCUAUCUGGGGUUUGAUCGAUGCCACUCCUGGUUUCAGGAGCACCCUUCAUAAUAAACCUAGAAAUUCAGUAUUAUAAAGUUUAAUAAAAAACAACUUUUAACAAUGGAUCUCUUGGUUCUCGCAUCGAUGAAGAACGUAGCAAAGUGCGAUAACUAGUGUGAAUUGCAUAUUCAGUGAAUCAUCGAGUCUUUGAACGCAGCUUGCACUCUAUGGUUUUUCUAUAGAGUACGCCUGCUUCAGUAUCAUCACAAACCCACACAUAACAUUUGUUUAUGUGGUAAUGGGUCGCAUCGCUGUUUUAUUACAGUGAGCACCUAAAAUGUGUGUGAUUUUCUGUCUGGCUUGCUAGGCAGGAAUAUUACGCUGGUCUCAGGAUCUUUUUCUUUGGUUCGCCCAGGAAGUAAAGUACAAGAGUAUAAUCCAGCAACUUCAAACUACGAU